rnacentral:rRNA from 1 species
UACGUAGGGACCGAGCGUUGUCCGGAAUCACUGGGCGUAAAGGGCGCGUAGGCGGCCUGAUAAGUAGGGGGUGAAAUCCUGCGGCUUAACCGCAGGGCUGCCUUCUAAACUGUCAGGCUUGAGCACAGUAGAGGCAGGUGGAAUUCCCGGUGUAGCGGUGGAAUGCGUAGAGAUCGGGAAGAACAUCAGUGGCGAAGGCGGCCUGCUGGGCUGUUGCUGACGCUGAGGCGCGACAGCGUGGGGAGCAAACAGG